rnacentral:tRNA from 1 species
UCUGCGAUGCGCGGCAGGGGAGCGCACGCUUGUUCGCGUCAGACGCGGUGCCGGGGUGCGUCCCGGCGCGCCUGAUCCGGUCGGGCUCGUCGAUCC